rnacentral:rRNA from 1 species
AGAGUUUGAUCCUGGCUCAGGACGAACGCUGGCGGCGUGCCUAAUACAUGCAAGUCGAGCGGAUCUUCUCCUUCGGGAGAAGGUUAGCGGCGGACGGGUGAGUAACACGUAGGCAACCUGCCCACAAGACCGGGAUAACAUUCGGAAACGAAUGCUAAGACCGGAUACGCAAGAUUGUCGCAUGACGGUCUUGGGAAACA